AUUUUCGGAAGUGCCUGGUAUCAGAUAGGUGUAAUUUUUGUGUUUGUAUAGUACACGUUUCUGGAACCAAGCCCUUUGAGAAA
rnacentral:pre_miRNA from 1 species